rnacentral:rRNA from 1 species
AUUGAACGCUGGCGGCAUGCUUUACACAUGCAAGUCGAACGGUAACAGGCCUUCGGGUGCUGCCGAGUGGCGAACGGGUGAGUAAUGCAUCGGAACGUGCCCAGAGGUGGGGGAUAACGCAGCGAAAGCUGUGCUAAUACCGCAUGUGAUCUGAGGAUGAAAGCGGGGGACCAAGCAGCAAUGUUUGGCCUCGCGCCUCUGGAGCGGCCGAUGUCAGAUUAGGUAGUUGGUGGGGUAAAGGCCUACCAAGCCGACGAUCUGUAGCUGGUCUGAGAGGACGACCAGCCACACUGGGACUGAGACACGGCCCAGACUCCUACGGGAGGCAGCAGUGGGGAAUUUUGGACAAUGGGCGCAAGCCUGAUCCAGCAAUGCCGCGUGCGGGAAGAAGGCCUUCGGGUUGUAAACCGCUUUUGUACGGAACGAAAAGGCUCUGGCUAAUACCUGGGGCUGAUGACGGUACCGGAAGAAUAAGCACCGGCUAACUACGUG